ACCACUGUGGCCAAGUGUGUAUCACAUUAGUCUUACAUUCUAGAGAUCCUGGGUUCAAUUCCCAGCAGAGUUC
rnacentral:tRNA from 1 species